rnacentral:tRNA from 1 species
CGCGAGGUAGAGCAGCUGGAAGCUCGCCGGGUUCAUACUCCGGAGGUCGCGGGUUCGAGUCCCGCCCUCGCAA